rnacentral:tRNA from 1 species
GGAGCGAUAUCGAAGUGGUCAUAACGAGCCGCACUCGAAAUGCGGUUGUCCGUUUCCGGGCACGUGGGUUCAAAUCCCACUCGCUCCGC